UAAGAAAUUAAAGUAAAAAUUUUUUUUAUAUUUAAUAAUUAAUUGAACUUUGUCAUUUUAUUUUAGAAAGGCAUAAUAUUUGCUUAUAGAAAGUUCUGGUAUAUAUCUAUUUUGUAAUUGUAGGCAUAAAAAGAACAAUAUGCAUCGUCUAUCAUGAACGUCAGAGCAAAAAUCUUCCUCCUACAUAUAAGGAAGAGUUUUCCUCUCACUCAUAGAUAUACUUAUACUUUCAUUCUUUAAGGUGGAAGAAUGUUUAAGUGCCCGUAUCAGUAGGCAAAUUGUAAUGCAAUAUUAUUACUUUUUGAUUACCUGUUAUUUUAAAUUUAAUGCUUACAAUUCAGGGCAAAGAUUAGAAAUAAGUCAAUAUUACAUACGUUUUAUUUUAUUUUUUCUGUUAUAUAUUAUAUUUUCCCUUAUAAAUUGCAAUAAAUAAUUAAUUUUCAAUUUUUAUUGCAUUUGAAAAAUCCCGCCCUUUUAGGGGCGCAUGCGUAAAUAAUUCAGGUUAGGUUAGGGAAACAUUUUUGAAGUCCAAUACUUUCAGUUCGCGCGCCGAAAAACGUGUUUAUUUUAUUAAUUAAUUAAUUACAAUAGUUAAAUAUAUUUCUAAGAGGAGUAAAAGUCUUAAGUGUUUUCGGUUUAAUAAAAGUAUGUUAUAUUUCACAUAUAAUAAUACUUGGGAUUAUCAAAGCAGAAAAAAGGUACUUUUAUAUGAUCGUUGGGAGUAUUAUUUCACUUUUUGAAUGCAAUAAGGAAAUUAGAGCGCACUGUCUAUAUUAUUGAGAAAAAUGAAAGGAAAAAAAAACGUGGUAACGAUUCUAAUUGAGGCAAUUUACAAGAGAUGAAGCAAAUUGAAAUGGAAGAAAUGGAAACAUUCAUAUUCUAAGAACGAAAGGGAAUUCUUUAGUCUUUAACAAGUGGAUUUAAAAGGCUAUAUAGAAGAUGAAAUAGAGAGAUGAAGGAGUCUUUUACGAUUCUAGAAUGAAUUCUAAAGACUGUGAAUGGAAUUUCCUUUUAGGAAACAAGGAAAGUUGAACAAUGAAAACUAUUGUUUUCUUUGCGAAACGAUUUUGAAAAAAUAAAGGGAUGAUUAAAAUUUAAAAAAAAAAAAAUUUUUACUGAAUGCGGAAGUUGAAAAAAAAACAAGAAGAGUAAGAUAAUUAUUAUUGAUAAAGUAAAUUUACUGGAGCAAGAAAAGCAUGAAUGAGGAAGUGAUUAAAGAAAAUAAGAAAGAAGAAAUCUAGUUUGAUGAUUGGAAAAAUAUACAUAACAGGAAUAAACUACUAUUUUGGUAUAUCAUCAUCAAAGGGGGGAAAAAAAGGAAGAAAGAAAAAGGUAAAAAAAAUCCGUACAUCGAUCGAUUCCUGUGAAAAACCGAGAAAAAUGUGAGUUUAAUAAUAAAAAAAGAAAGAAUAAGUAAAAAUCACCAGAAUAAAUAAUUAUUUUAAUUAUUAAAUUUAGUUUUUAUUUUGAUAAUGAUCAAUUGUUCUGUAUUUUCACUUCCAAACUAUCGUAAACAUAACCUAUAAUUUUUUUGCUUCUUUCACAGUGCGUUAUUUUAUACAACAAAAAAUUGAAUAUGAAUCACCAAACACACAAAAAAAAUAAUUAUUAUAGUAAUUAUUUCAUGAAAGGAAAGAAAACAAUUUCCACUUAUAUUUGCAAUAUAAAAUAAUUAUAUAUGCGUAUAAAAUUGAUGACAGAAUUUUUUUUAUAUCUUGUCGAGAGCGUGAUUUCUAAUAUCUACAUGAGGUGAAUUCAAUUUCAGUUCAAUGGAUAAUUAUCUGAACGGAUAUUUGCUUUCGCUUAACUCGAAUCGAGACACAAUAAUCUUGCAGAGUUCUAUUGUCCUCUAAUGACGUGAUCUAUCCUUAUACAAUCGCAUGUAUAUAGAUACGUGUACGUAUAGGAAAUGCAUCCUGUGAUGGAAUUUCUCUAUCACUCUCCAUUAAAUAUGACACUCGUUCCUCUUAUGUCACCAAAUGUGUCUCCUAUCGUACAUUAUCAUCUCUCUUUUCUUGCAAGUUUAUAAAAGUCAAUAUACCUAUAUCCAGAUGCAAGGUCAAUGUUCCUUUGCAAUUCUCGUAACACUUCAAUGACAAAUAUAAUUAUUAAAAAAUAAAAUAAUUAUUUUGACAAAUCACACGUACAGAAUAAAAAUAAACAAAAAUGAUUAUAGCAAUGAUUUUCUCUUACAUAGAAUAAUGGGAAAAUAUUUCAAAUGUGACGCGCCUCUGAAGAAAGGAAAGCUAAAAAAUUAUAGGUUAGGUUAACGUUCGACUAAAUUUCGUUUUUGUUUUUAAUUAUGUAAAAAAAUAAAAAUCAAUUUUAUUUAUUUUAGCUCCUAACAGGUAUUUUGAUGCCUGUGAAAUUACAACCACAACUUAAUCAAAAACAAUUUUCUUUUUUUUAAACGUUUGUUGGUCGUUUGAUAGUCAUUGAUUGUUUGAUACCCUACGUUUGAUGGAAAUAAUUAGAAACAAUAAACAAAAAUCAAAUAUUAUUGUGCUAAUUUCACGGUGCACUGAGACGCUUGCUUUUCACCGAACUGACAGUACGUCGAACAGACAAAAUGUCCUCAAACGAUUUAAGUCAACAAUCAAUUACCAUCAAACGAUUUAAUUCAACAAUCAAUGACCAUCAAAACGAUUUAAGCGAACAAUCAAUGACCAUCAAACUAUUUAAUUCAACAAUAAAUGACCCUCAAACGAUGUAAGUCAACAAUCAAUGACCAUCAAACGAUUUUUGACAUUUAUAAAUCACCAUCAAACGAUUUAAGUCAACAAUCAAUGAUUCUCAAACGAUUUAAGUCAACAAUCAAUGAUCCUCAAACGAUUUAAGUCAACAAUCAAUGACCAUCAAAACGAUUUAAGUCAACAAUCAAUGACCAUCAAACUAUUUAAGUCAGCAAUCAAGGAACAUCAAACGAUGUAAGUCAACAAUCAAUGACCAUCAAACGAUGUAAGUCAACAAUCAAUGACCCUCAAACGAUUUAAGUCAACAAUCAAUGACCAUCAAACGAUUUCUGCCAAUAAUCAAUUACCAUCAAUCGUCUAACAAUGUAUUGGAAUAAAAAAAAUUAAAAAUUGGUUAAAUUUUUUAAAUCUAGCAACAUCAUUGUUGAUUAAUUAAUCCUUGUGGGAUAAUUUGUAUUAAUAAU